rnacentral:ncRNA from 1 species
AUAUAUUGAGGUGAGCAACAGUUCUCACGCACCUUAUGGGUUAAAAGAGAUGUAGGUACAGCUGGACCUACCAAUAUAU